rnacentral:rRNA from 1 species
GCGACAGGCUUAACACAUGCAAGUCGAGGGGCAGCAUGAAGUCAGCUUGCUGACUUUGAUGGCGACCGGCGCACGGGUGAGUAACCGCGUAUCCAACCUUCCCCUUACUCAGGAAUAGCCCGUUGAAAAGACCGGGAUUAAUGCCUGAUGUUCUCAUGUUGCCGCAUGGCGAUGUGAGCAAAGAUUCAUCGGUAAGGGAUGGGGAUGCGUAUGAUUAGCUUGUUGGCGGGUAACGGCCCACCAAGGCGACGAUCAUUAGGGGUUCUGAGAGGAAGGUCCCCCACACUGGAACUGAGACACGGUCCAGACUCCUACGGGAGGCAGCAGUGAGGAAUAUUGGUCAAUGGAGGCAACUCUGAACCAGCCAAGUAGCGUGCAGGAUGACGGCCCUAUGGGUUGUAAACUGCUUUUAUGCGGGAAUAAAUGAUCCUACGUGUAGGAUUUUGCAGGUACCGCAUGAAUAAGGACCGGCUAAUUCCGUG